rnacentral:rRNA from 1 species
GCAGUUCGAACGAUGAAGCCUUUCGGGGUGGAUUAGUGGCGAACGGGUGAGUAACACGUGGGCAAUCUGCCCUUCACUCUGGGACAAGCCCUGGAAACGGGGUCUAAUACCGGAUAACACUCUGUCCUGCAUGGGACGGGGUUAAAAGCUCCGGCGGUGAAGGAUGAGCCCGCGGCCUAUCAGCUUGUUGGUGGGGUAAUGGCCUACCAAGGCGACGACGGGUAGCCGGCCUGAGAGGGCGACCGGCCACACUGGGACUGAGACACGGCCCAGACUCCUACGGGAGGCAGCAGUGGGGAAUAUUGCACAAUGGGCGAAAGCCUGAUGCAGCGACGCCGCGUGAGGGAUGACGGCCUUCGGGUUGUAAACCUCUUUCAGCAGGGAAGAAGCGAAAGUGACGGUACCUGCAGAAGAAGCGCCGGCUAACUACGUGCCAGCAGCCGCGGUAAUACGUAGGGCGCAAGCGUUGUCCGGAAUUAUUGGGCGUAAAGAGCUCGUAGGCGGCUUGUCACGUCGGAUGUGAAAGCCCGGGGCUUAACCCCGGGUCUGCAUUCGAUACGGGCUAGCUAGAGUGUGGUAGGGGAGAUCGGAAUUCCUGGUGUAGCGGUGAAAUGCGCAGAUAUCAGGAGGAACACCGGUGGCGAAGGCGGAUCUCUGGGCCAUUACUGACGCUGAGGAGCGAAAGCGUGGGGAGCGAAC